CUCUAGUUGCAAGCAUAUUCAAUUUACUUAAUCAAGUCUCAUUCAAUAUAACAGCAUUAAGACUCAUUGUAUUGAAUUGCAUACUUGGGUAAACUUAGACUAAUCUUUUAUUGAGUCCGCUGCUUAAUAGUUAAUUAGAUUAGAAUCAUACUCUUGCUAAGUUUAAAUUCCACUAUGCAUCCAUACAACUUAGCUUAAUUAACUCUAAAAGAUUAGAAGUAGU
rnacentral:lncRNA from 1 species